GACGAACGCUGGCGGCGUGCUUAACACAUGCAAGUCGAACGGAAAGGCCCUGCUUUUGUGGGGUGCUCGAGUGGCGAACGGGUGAGUAACACGUGAGUAACCUGCCCUUGACUUUGGGAUAACUUCAGGAAACUGGGGCUAAUACCGGAUAGGAGCUCCUGCUGCAUGGUGGGGGUUGGAAAGUUUCGGCGGUUGGGGAUGGACUCGCGGCUUAUCAGCUUGUUGGUGGGGUAUUGGCUUACCAAGGCUUUGACGGGUAGCCGGCCUGAGAGGGGGAACGGCCACAUUGGGACUGAGAUACGGCCCAGACUCCUACGGGAGGCAGCAGUGGGGAAUAUUGCACAAUGGGCGGAAGCCUGAUGCAGCAACGCCGCGUGCGGGAUGACGGCCUUCGGGUUGUAAACCGCUUUCGCCUGUGACGAAGCGUGAGUGACGGUAAUGGGUAAAGAAGCACCGGCUAACUACGUG
rnacentral:rRNA from 1 species